UCCCUCUCAGGAUCGCACCUGGAGAGUUUCUGGUACUCUACUAGUCUCGGCUACAAGAGGAAGAGCCAAGCAGAGGCAUAUCCCUUCCAUUCCUAGCUUUGAUAGUGAAUAGCGAGUGGAAGGCAACCUGCUACAAGU